CAGAAAAUGCCAAACCACCCUCUCUAUUUCCUUUAAAUCUACUCUGGUUAAGAAACUAUAAUGAAGACAUGAACCACUUUUGUAAGGAGCAAAUGAGAUCAACUCACUUCAUACUCUUAAAAUUAUAAGAAAAUCCUUUUUAAGGCUGAAGUAUUCAGGAAAUCUCCCUUAUAGAAAAGUUGCUGCCUCUGUGUGAGUGGAGUCCAGAAGAUUUCAGUGUUUAGAAUGUACACAUCUGGCAACUGCACAAGUUUUGUGUUUUCUCUGAGCUGCCUCUGAAACAGCUGGC